rnacentral:tRNA from 1 species
UCUAAUAUGGCAGAUUAGUGCAAUGAAUUUAAGCUUCAUAUAUAAAAUAUUCUUAUUUUUUUUAGAG